CAAGGGUACAAGGUGCCGGAAGCGAGAGGCCAAAGGCGGGGAGGAGUUCGUCAAAAUGAUUUAGAUUGCUGUGUUUGGACGGUGGCGUGCUGGUUUUUUCUUUGUUUUUUACUGUCGCCAACAAAAGGCGUUUCUUGAGACCUCACAAGCGCCCACUAUGGCAGGAGCAGAAGCAGUUUGGAAACUGUGUCUCUUUUGAUUCAGGAAUUUAACAUCCAAAACAGUCUUUUAAAAAGGGGGAAAGGAAUGUAGGUGGGAUAGGAGCAUCGAAAGAAACCAGUAGAGAAGAGGAGAAUGGGUCCUCUGAUUAGAAUUUAAAUUAUUGGUCUUCCCUGGUGGUGCAGUGGUUAAGAACCCACCUGCCAAUGCAGGGGACACAGGUUCGAGCUCUGGUCCAGGAAGGUCCCACAUGCCAUAGAGCAGCUAAGCCCAUGCACCACAACUACUAAGCCUGCACUCUAGAGCCCGCGAGCCACAACUACUGAAGCCCACGCACCUAGAGCCCGUGCUCUGCAACAAGAGAAGCCACCGCAAUGAGAAGCUGGCGCACCACAGUGAAGAGUAGCCCCUGCUUACAACUAG